AGUUAUGCUGAUUCUAUCCCACAGUUGAGAGGUCUGGUUAGAGCGUGCAUCAAUGUUGCUUUGGCCGUGGUUUGAGCCAAAUUUGAACUGAAAACUGACGCUACCGUAGCCUUUAAUACGACAGCAUCCGAAUGUAUUUUUACAGUUGUGCAUAGCUACCAUCUCUGGGGUUCUUGGAUCCAGACAUGCAGUGCGGCAUUUCAACGUGGUGGCAUUGUCUUCGACAGAGUAUACCUCCAUGCCACAGCUGGUAAUGUUUAGAACAAUGGACUCAAGAGAGAAGGAACCCCCAGGUGGUUUCAAAGAAUAGUUGUACACAUUGACACCAGAUUUCAUGUGGAUGGUAUGCAAGAAGGAGGCAUGGAUAGUGUUAUAAACAGAAAGAAGGUUGUCGAGUUUGAUCACCUCGGUGAUGCCAUCAUGCAAGAAGAGCUUGGGGGGCUGAGCGGUGUCGUUGCAAAUGAGGUUGAAGUCAGGCCCACGGGAGCACCUGGAUCCGAUGCCGAAGGGAUAGGCGAAGCUCAGGUUGCCGCAGCUCGUUGGGCAGCCAGCAAGUGUGCCACCGGUACGUGAUGGUUGCGCCCAGUUCCCCUCAGGGCUCUGCUGGCUUGUUACAACUCCAGAUGCUAGAGCCGUUGGCUGUCCUAGUGACCCGACUACCAACAGAUAGAACAUUAUCGGGAAGAUGCCCAUGAUCGAUCUACAGUUCCACACUACACCUUGCGCUAGAGAAGUUCAGGUCAGGCAGCAGUGGCUUCUCUUCUAGGUACCACUUUCAUGACUGCCUCCCUAAUGCAUAUAUAUCAAUGGUCACAGCUGAGCCAAGGAAGACAUGAAGAGGAUUCGUAUGGACGUCCAUGUGGUGUGCUUUGGUGGCAUGUGGAAGGAGAUGCCUCGUACAUGCCCAUGUGGAUGUGGCAGUGCUGGUACAUUUGAUAGGAUGUAAAGUAGAAGACCAUGACUAUCAGUCCGUGACAUUGUAACUUUGUAAGUCGUGCUGCAGGAAGAAAUCAACAAGUCUGUCUAUUAAUAAAGGAGCUAAUCUACGCCUGUUCCUGAUAAACCACGUUACAAAUUUCCCUCGUGGAUUUUCUGGGUUUCCAAAUGUUUGCUCUAGACAAGAAAGGCAUUAAAAAUGAGCACGCUAGAACGUGGCGAAAGCCUUUUUCAGUAAAUGAGCACGCUACAACAUGAAAAAGGGAACCACAGAUGAAACUCACCAGUAGUAGGUAGGCCAUCGGUAGAACGUGGAACCGUUCCAUGCAAACUGUUGUGAAUCUUCAGUCCCCACCUGGUGGAGACAGCCUAACUGAUAUGUUCCAACCAAGCUAGGUGACCAUAACUGAAACCAUCACCAACAUUAAGAAGCCAAAUUUAGAUAAGCUAGCAGAGCUAACUAAGCAACGGUAACUAAAGUCCAUUCCAAUUUAGGCGUUGCUUUCUCAAGAUGCAACCAAGAACACAGGGUAAACAUUGUGAUUGCUGGAGAUAAGCUGCAGACAAAGAAUCAGGUACAUGACUGCAAUGAUUAUUCUGAACAUAUUCCAAGAAUCUGGUUGGUCUGGUCCCUUGUGCGGGCGUUGUUCCAGCGCGGAGAAGGGCUACACAGCUCAAGUACGUGAGAACCUUUGAGUGCAAAGAAGACUUGAGCGCAAAGCUGAUGAGGCAUGUCGGAUCACCAAGCACUGUGUAGGAGCCAGGGGUUUCCCACCGUCGUUUCGUCCCACCAUUGCCGUUUGCUUAUGCUGCAACCAAGAAGCACAGCCAUGGUAAAAAAUCUGACACAUUUUUUUUUCGAAAAGGAGGAUUCCCCGGUCUCUGCAUCAGAACGAUGCAUACGGCCACAUUUAUUAAAAAGAGUAAACAAGGUGUUAAAGUCUGCAGACAAAAGGAUCGGCAAGCUCACACAGAGCCUCCAUGCCAAAACAAAAAGCCUAACAAGCCACAACCGGCUGGCAAAUUAACAGAUAGGUAAACUAAUCGCCUAUCCUAUUACAUGACCGCCAUCCAAACCGGUUGAAGAUAUCCCGCGCUACCAUCUCCCACCGGACAGAUCCAGUAACCAAACGCUUCCUGGCCUCCAUCGGAGUGAGUAAGGACCACAUACGGAUCAGCGCAGUAGCCCUGAAUAAAACCUGUAAAAAAUGAAUAGUUGUUGUUCUGUUAAAAGCCAAAUCAUUUCUGCAGUUCCAAAUUGCCCAUAACAACGCACAAACUCCUACACGAAUGUGUCUAGCUAUUUCGGAGUCUAUCCCAGCAAGCCACGUCCCGAAUAACGUGUUGACCGAAGUCAGGGGAGUAAUGUUAAAGGCAAUUUGUACAGAGCGCCACAAGCCUCGUGCCAACGGACAGUCAAAGAAGAGGUGCUUGAUGGUCUCCUCCCGAUCACAGAAACUACACCUAGUAAAACCUGUCCAGUUACGCUUAACUAGAUUGUCCUUUGUUAAAAUUACUUGUUUAUGUACAAACCACAUAAACACUUUAAUCUUUAAGGGGACCUUAACUUUCCAAACCUCUUUGGAACUAGGAAUCACAGUUGAGUUAAUAAUAUCAAUAUACAUCGAUUUAACUGUGAACUCCCCAGAUCUAGUAAGCUUCCACCACAACUGAUCGGGCUGAGGAUUUAACCGAACCCCCAUCAAUCUCCGAACCAAGUGAAGCCAUGCUUCCCAUCGUUCACCCACAAGCACCCUCCUAAACUGAAAAUUGAGCAGAAUGGACUGCAGAACGUGGCAACAAGAGCCUCACGGCGCUGAACAAUACGAUAAAGGGACGGAUACUGGGUCGCCAAAGGCGCGUCGCCAAGCCACGUAUCCUCCCAAAAUCGAGUGUCAUUACCAUUACCGACAAUACACCUAGUUCUGUUAAAGAAGGUGGCUUUGAUUCUCAUGAGCCCCUUCCAGAACGGCGAAUCAUUUGGUCUCAUAGUGACCUAGGACAAGGUCUUGGACUGCAAAUAUUUACUGCGUAGGAUCUGCGCCCAUGUUGCCUCCGUCUUAAGUGCCAACUUAUACAACCACUUACUGAGCAGGCAUCUAUUCUUGACUUCUAGAUUUUCAAUACCAAGCCCCCCCUGAUCCUUUGGUCGACAGAUAAUAUCCCAUUUGGCCAGUCGGUAUUUUCUCUUAAGUUCAUCACUCUGCCAAAAGAAUCGGGAUCGAUAGAAGUCCAGCCGUUUCCUAACCCCGACUGGGACCUCAAAGAAGGAUAAGAGGAACAUAGGUAAACUCGUGAGCACCGAGUUAAUAAGGAUCAACCGGCCUCCAUAAGACAUGAGUUUUCCCUUCCAGCAACUCAGUUUCUUCUCAAACCGAUCCUCUAUGCACUUCCACUCGCUGUUUGUUAGCUUACGGUGGUGAAUGGGAAUACCUAGAUACGUAAAAGGUAGAGCCCCAACUUCACAACCAAACAAUUGUCUAUAUGCCUCUUGUUCAUCUUUGGCUCUACCAAAGCAGAACAACUCACUUUUAUGGAAAUUAAUCUUAAGCCCCGUCAAUUGUUCAAAUAAGCAUAAUACUAACUUCAUGUUUCUUGCUUUGGCCAAAUCGUGUUCCAUAAAGAUGAUAGUAUCAUCAGCAUACUGCAGGAUGGACACACCACCUUCAACCAGAUGAGGCACCAAGCCACCCACCUGGCCGGCCUCUUUUGCCCUUCCUAUCAGGAUCGCCAACAUGUCCACCACAAUAUUGAAUAAUAUUGGAGACAUAGGAUCGCCUUGUCUCAAUCCCUUAUGCGUUUGGAAAUAAUGCCCUAUAUCAUCAUUCACUUUAAUUCCAACACUCCUUUUUUGCGUGAAUGCUUCCACCUGGCGUCGCCAAGCUUCAUCAAAGCCCUUCAUGCGUAAGGCCUGUUGAAGGAACGACCAUUUGACUUUAUCAUAUGCCUUCUCGAAAUCCACUUUGAAAAUAACCCCAUCAAGUUUUUUCGUGUGGAUCUCAUGGAGUGUUUCAUGAAGGACCACCACCCCUUCCAGGAUGUUCCUGUCCGGCAUGAACGCUGUUUGAGUAGGCUGCACCACGGCAUGCGCAAUCUGUGUUAGCCUAUUCGUCCCAACCUUGGUAAAAAUUUUGAAACUGACAUUCAGGAGACAGAUAGGCCGAAAUUGCUCGAUUCCCACGGCCUCUGUUUUCUUAGGAAGCAGGGUUAUUGUUCCAAAAUUAAGCUGGAAAAGCUGCAAAUGUCCCGAGAAUAAAUCAUGGAACAUCGGCAACAGGUCCCCUUUAAUAAUAUGCCAGCAUUUCUUAUAAAACUCAGCCGGGAAACCAUCCGGCCCGGGUGCCUUAUUAUUUUUCAUCUGGGAAACGGCCUCGAAAACCUCCUUUUCCGAAAAAGGGUCGAUUAAUAUAUCGUUCUCCACCGCAGUGAGUUGAGGUACAUCUUCGAUUCUAGACUCAUCCAGAGACACACAGUUCUCCUCUGGUGGUCCGAACAAACGUUUGUAGUACUCAGUAAUGUAAAGCUUCAAAUUAUCCUGCCCGAUAAUUGUACCCUCAUCUUGUUCUAGCUGGAAGAUUCUCUUCUUCCUAUGUUUGCCAUUUGCAAUCAUAUGGAAGAAUUGAGUGUUCGCGUCCCCCUCGACCACUCUUCGUACCUUGGCCCGCAGAGCCCACUUUAACUCUUCUUCCCGAAGCAGUUCUUUCAACCUCUUCUCAGCGUCAAGCUUAGUAUGAAACUCGUUGGCUGGCAACACCGUGGUUUCUGCUUUUACAUCUAAGGACUGAAUGAGGGCAAGGAGCCGUUCCUUCUCAACCCUAUAUAUCCCACUGAGAUGUUUAGCCCAACCACGUAGGAAACUUCUCAGAUGCCUAAUCUUAUUCUGCCAGCGCUCAAGCGCAUUCCUACCGCCUGCUUCCUUAGCCCAUUCUCUGGCUACGAUAUCCAGGAAGCCUUCUCUUUCAAACCACGCAAGCUCGAAUGAGAACAAAUUCUUGUUGCCCGAAUAGGUAGCCCCACCAGAGUCAAGAAAAAGAGGCGUGUGAUCAGAAAUCCCGCGAGAGAGAGCCUGAACAGUUACGAAGGGAAACUUCUGUUCCCAUUCGACACUUGCGAGUGCCCUAUCCAACUUUUCAAAUGUUGGAUUUGGCAUGGCGUUGGCCCAAGUAAACUUCCUACCUGAAAGCUCAAUCUCUCUCAGAUCCAAGCUUUCUAUGAUAGUGUUGAACAUAAACGACCAUCUCCCGUCAAAAUUAUCAUUGUUCUUCUCGUCACACCUCCUAAUAAUGUUAAAAUCACCCCCAACGAGAAUGGGGAGCUGCUCAGAACCACAAACUCUAACCAGGUCGGCCAGGAAGUCCGGUUUUAAUUCUGCCUACGCGGCGCCAUACACCGCCACCAGAGCCCAGUCAAAACCGUCGACCUUGGAUCGCAGACUGAAUUUUACAGCAAAAUCUCCCAUGACCACACUUCGAACUUCGAGAGAAUUGCAUCGAACACCAAGUAAGAUCCCUCCCGAUCUCCCUCGCGGCAGCAGACAAUGCCAGUCAAACUCAAUACCCCCCGAUAGAGUGUUAAGAAAGUGUGGUGAGAAAUUUGCUCUACCAGUUUCCGACAACGCAAUAAAAUCCAAUCUAUGCUCGACGGAUGCCUCUGCAAGAAAUCUUCUUUUAGCCAAGUCCUUAAGACAUCUGCUAUUCCAAAAGAUUCCUCUCAUAUCUCGUCGUGAAAUUUUUUAGCGGUGCGGAUCCUAGCACUCCUACGCACAGCAGACGUUGGGUAAAUCUUGCGCUUCCAUUUGCGCUUAGGGCCGGUCCUCUCAUCCACCCGGUCCUCACUCCCCGUUUCAGGGGGACCAACAACAUCCAUCUCUACACUCUCAUCCUCCUCCUCCGUCUCCGGGAGGGGAGGUGCGAGAUCGGCGCAAAAAUUAUCAAGCACCUGAACUCCCAAGGCAUCAAUCUCGGAAUCAUUCAUGGGUUUGACGGCAACUAAGUUUCGAACCAUAUCUAAAGCCCUCUCGGCUUCUAGAUCUAGCAAAUCAUUGAUGGAGUUAGAAAUUUCACCCUCAUUAUUACCUAGUGAAAUCCCUAGUUGGUUUGCAUUAUGAACAAUCUCAUCAUUCGAAAAAUGCAAAAUUGAAUUAGAGGUAUUGACCGACAUACCAGUAGUGACCUGGACGUCACGAAACUUGGCCGCCCUCACGGCGCACCGUUGCUGCAUGUCGUCCACCUCCGGACAGCCCUGAAGACGGCAGCUCAACCGUCGUCCCUCAGACGCCUAGUCCGGAAUCCCGCCGAACUGAAUAACCUCCUCCUGAGUGAGGUUGCCUGGGGAUUGACCGCCUGUCACCCCCCGAACCAGCAGCUGCUCCCCCCGGGUGGGAAAGGGCGCCGAGUCAACUGAUGGGGAACCAAAGGCCACCUGCCCCUGCUCCCCAUCCACCCCAGACCUUCGGUCAGUGGUGAUCGCCGGCGCCAACGGUGGGGCGGUCCCCCUGGGCGCGGAAGGUGGAGAGGGUCCCGGGGCCACCCGCCCCAAGCUCCCUUCAUAGGCCGGUCCGGCCACCUGCAAAAUCGGUCCAGCGACCGGUGAAGAAGGCGCCGAGGCCUGCCGCCCCGACCGCCCUCCCGAAGGUAUCUCCACCCUCUCGGUCACACCGACCUGAGUGAGAGGAGAAGUGGGCGCCGAGACCACCUGCCUCGACCCCCCUGCACAGCUGGGAACCAUCACCUGUAGUUCCGCCGUCUCAACACAAUCCGGCGAAAUCUCUAUCUCCGAAAUGUCCUCCGCGCUAGAAUCCUCCAUUCCCGGGCCCUCAAAGUCCAACGCGGGUAGAGAGUGCUCAAAAUCAUCAAAAGACUCCACUCGCUCGCUCCAAAGCCUGGGAGGUGCAGUAGCAGGCUCAAUAGAUCCAAACCUCAGAGUGGUAGACGGCACUGAAGCAGCAUGCGCCGUCCCAACUCCGGUCGUCUGAGCAUCAAACCCCGGUCUCUUGGACAUCUCUCGUCCAGGAUCAGUGGCCGGAGCCUCCUUAGCUCCUGCACUCUCAUCAUCGUCGUGCAUAUCAACAUCAGUGGCAGCGGGUGCCUCAGCAAACAAGUUGUCAUCCUCAAACUCAAUCUUAAGGUUGUAGACUUGGCCUCGAUAGGCCCACUUGACCACAUCAGGCACAAACUCAAUGUCCAAAAUGCUGACCAGUAAGCGAGCAACCCCAUGAGCUCUAGUAAAGGCCAUAUCCACACGGUCAGUCUUUCCCACCAUGAUGCCCAAACUCGCAACUACCCUAGCAUCCUGCAUAGGUUUGGAAGGAACUCCCGAAAACCGUAACCAAGCCUGGGUAAGAGGUGUACCCUGAGUUUCAAUCAACUUCCACUCGUGGAACUCAAGAAUGCCCUCAGUACCUGGCACUUUGCACAACCCAAAACUCAAGAGCCUCUGUAAAUCCUCCACUAUCGGGAACUCAACCCUGAACAAGUUCGCCUCUAGACUGACAAGCUCCCAAUGAAAAUCCCCUGGGGCCAGCUCCUGGAGCCGCUGCAAAAUCUGGGUCUCAGAGACUUCUCCUUUAGUUACUUUAACAAUCCCAGUUGUCACACUUUGAACCACAUCAGUAACCUCCCUCUCGGUCGGAGACUCAAAGAAUGUGAGUUCAGCACAAUACACACCAUACAUCAUAAGGUUCGGUACCUGCUCCCUCAAAAGCGGGCAAACCCCCGACUGGUGGGCUGGCUUGCCACACGAAUCGCAUAAAACAGCCACACACUCAACAAUGAAAUGGCCCUUAUCACCACAACGGUAGCAUAACAUCCUUCCUUUCUUGCGCGCAUACUUGGCUGCUCUGUCUUCUACCGACAUAGACCCACUAUCACCAUUAGCAGGGACCACCACGUCAGCCAGUGCCGUUACCACCUCCAUAGCCUAGCAAGACAACUCAGGUUCUGCAGAAACCUCGCCAACAGGUGUCUGGUCCACAAUAACAGGAUGCUGUCGUGGACGAUAACGGCCACCACGGUAACCUCGGCAACCACGGUUACCACGGAAGCCACCGCGGUUACGAUGAGCCGGUCCAGACGCCCCUUCGACGAAACCGCCCGUUGGCCCCAAGAAUGGCCUCUCGGCCAAGCCAUCGCUCUGUCCGGCAUACCCCCGUCCACCACCCGUAGACGAGGAUCCCCGGUGUUGUCCCUCUCCAUACGCAUUAUAUCCAUCAUCACCCCACUGUCCAUGAGGCGCCGAUUGAACAUCACCACUAGCAGAAACCUGCGGCGCCUGUGCUUGCUACAACACCGGCAGUGUCGAGUUGUGCGCCUGCCUUGCCACGAAGUGCGGCGGUCUAGCCCCGGGCUGAAUCGGCAACGGACGCUGGCCAUUAGAGGCCGGAGGAGGCGGCCUUGGGGUCGGGACACCGCGACCCGCGACAACCACAGGGUUCGGCACCGGCGGCCGAGGUCCACCCGACCCGCAGCAGGCUGCGGCAACACCGGCGUCGUUGGUCGAGCACCGGCAGCACCCAACCCGCGGCCUGCAGAGCAAGAUCCAGGCGCGCCACCAGCUAGAGGCGGUCUAGUGCCGCCUACUUCCGGCGCCGCCCGGCCGGUUCUAGAUGGCGCUCCGCCCCGGCCAGCCCCGAGCGGCACACCUGCGCCGCCGCAACCCGUCCCCGCAGGCAUACCGCCACCGCCGCGGCCACCUCCGGCCGGCAACGUUGGCCCUCCACGACCCGCAGCGCCCGUAUCGGCAGGCUUGGAAGGGGGCACUCCUCGACCGACCAUGCCGCGAAGAGGUGGGAUGCGCCUGGCACGCCCCGCACCACGAUCAGAGAAACUCGGUCGACACCCAGCGCCGCGAACCCUAGGUCUUUCCGAUCGACUCCACACAGGAGAAGCGUCGAUGCAUGGGGGUGUAGACGUACAUGCCUGGUUACACCGGGCCUCAUACCCGACGAACAUAUGCCCAGCCAUGGUCGGGCCCGGUUCACUCAAAACCGGCCCACCCCCAGGCGAACCGAACUGGCGGCCCAAGAGCGCGUUCAAACGCGCCUCCCGCAUGCCGGCGAUCCCGACCGGCCGCCCCGCCGGCAACUGCGCCGUGGCCGUCGCCGAACGCCGGGAUCCAGCAUCAGAAUUACUCGAUUUCUACUUCCUCUCAACUUUUAUCCACGAAUCCGGUCGAAUCAAGUCAAAAACGGUGAGGUUUGGAAGGCUAACCUUCGGAAGGGGUCCUUUCCAUGGCCGGACAGCUGUCGCCGCCGUUCUCCGAUGAAUGACGCGAUGCACCAUCUCCUUUCGGUCGUCCGCGUGUAGCCCAACCCUCGCCGGAUCGUCCACCGGCAAGAUCCUGUCCACCGUAGAGGCGACCUCAUCCUCAUCAUAGCCUGAAUGGAAUAACUCACAGAAUAAAUCAGAUGGCGUCGGCGUUGGCGGAGAGGACGUCGGCUCAUCCCCAUCCUCGUCCGCCUCGUCGUCUUCAGAUCCAGCCAGCGCCCAGAACUGGCCACCAACCCGUCGAUGGGCCACCGGCCCCAAGAGCCGAGGUCCGAUGAUCGCCGCACCACGAGUCUCGCAGGGUAUCCCGCCUUGUCGCCAUCCAUUCCUCUCGGAUUUCCAUGUAGCCUCGUUUCCGUCAAGUCAAUCAGCUCCGGUCUCUUCGGACGAAGAUCCACCUGUACAGAAUCAACAACCAGCACAUCAAAACCAUCAAUCUUGAAACGAUGCCCUACCUCGAUCGAGUCGCCGUCCGGCCAGAAGUCGCCGGCAAGGAUGUCAUUCUCCAAAUCGAAGAGAACCAGCCAACGUGAAUGCGGAGUAAAACGGACGCGGCCUUCAAUCCAGAUCCCAGGAGCCGUCUGGGCGCAGAAAUGAACACGCCAUUGCGUGAAAUUCCCCUGUCCCCGCCCGAUCUCAGCCGGGGAUCCGUAGUCAUCGCGCGAUCCCACCUCCGUCUCCUUUUCGCCCGACGUGAGGUCGGCCGGCUGUGGCGGGGCGGCCGCCGGGGCGCCGCCCGGCUCCGCCUCGAGACCCAUCCGCCCCUACCUAGCAAAAAAAAUCUGACACAUAGUGAUGUGCCCAUUUAACUACUGAAAAGAAAAGAGUAAAAAGUGGGACUGCUGGAAAUAAACUACUGACACAGAAUCAUGUACUCCCUCUGUAAACAAAUAUAAGACGUUCUAGGUUUUAGGUUGACCUAAAACGUCUUAUAUUUGUUUACAGAAGGAGUACAUCACAACCAAGGGAAUCACGACAUAAAAACCUCUAACCACUGAAAUGAAUUGAUGGAUCCGGAAGCAAGCAAACCAGUAACUCCAAUUUACACAUAAGCGGCUACCUGAGCUAAGUAACAGUAACUGAACUUCAUCCCCAAUUUUAGCUGGUGUUUGCUUAAGCUGCAACCGUGAGCAGAGAGUAAAAAUUAUGAUUGCUAGAGAUAAACUGCAGAAACAGAAUGGGCUGGUGUAAGUCUGUUCCUGACGAUGAUGAUGAUGAUGACUGUAGUACAUGCCCAUGUGGAUAUGUACCUGGACGUCAUAGUACUUAUACAAUGUGAAGGAGAUGACCGUGACCAUGACUAACAUGUCGCUUGCACAAGAAAUGCAUUACAAACAUAGAAAUGAGACCAAAGUUGAUGCCAAACAUACAGACUAAGUUACAGAAUGAAAAUGGGGAACCACACAAGAAACUCAAAAGCAGUAGAUAUUCCAUCAGGAUGACACGGAAUUGUGCCACGCAACCUGUUGCGAAUAUCAUCGUGCUCAUCAAUACCGGAAGCCAGCAUGCAAUCUUCUUCAGUCCCAAUCUGGUGGAGGCAAUCUAACUGAUAUCUUCCAACCGAGCCAGGUGAUAGUAACUGAACCCAUCACUAACAUUAGCUGGUGGCCGCCUAACCUGUGACCGAGGGAAUCACGAAGUAAAAAACUUGAACCACUGUAGAAGCAAACCAGUAACUCGUUUUUUUUAGAGGACAUUAACUGAAGUCCAUCUUCAAUUUAGUUGUUGCUUGCUCAAGCUGAAACCAAGGCCACGCGACAAACACUGUGAUUGCUGGAGAAAAAACUACAGACAAAGAAUCAUGUACCUGACUGAUGUUUGCAAUGAUUAUUUUGGAAAAAUUUCAAGAGUGGUGGGUCUGGAACCUUGUGCGGGCAGUGUUACAAAUCUGAAGUACAGUAGUAUGUAAGAAAGAAUCUUGAGCGCAAAGCUGAUGCGGUGUGUGACAUCUUGUUGAGUGCAAAAAAGACUUGAGCGCAAAGCUGAUGCGCUAUGUCACAUCACCAUGCACCGCGAGUACGAGCAUGUCACGGGUGCCAACAUUCGGUUUCCCACUGUCGGUGUUUGCUUAAGCUGCAAUCACAUAGAGACACAUUGAGAAGUAAAAAUUCUGAACACAUGCAGAUAAACUACAUACAGACACAUUGAUCAAGUAAAAGAAUAACAGGAAAUGGGCACCUGUACAUGGAGAAAAAUGGAUUCAGACGGAGAACCACUGAAGAAAACCCAAUUAGUGCCUGGAAGAGAUUGCUUGGCUACCGCUCAAACUCGGGAUACAUACAUAUAUAUGCAUCUCAUUUCUUCGCUGCAGAUAAACUGCAGAAAUAAAAUGUGCUAAUGUUAAUCUGUUCCCGAUGAUGACGAUGACUCUAGUACAUGCCCAUGUGGAUGUGUACCUGGACGUGGCAGUGGCGUACUUGAUACAGCGUGAAGGAGAUGACCAUGCAUGGCCGUGACCUCAUACGCCAUGCCGCAGGAAGACCUCAGCAAGUCGGUCCAUUAUAGGUGGGCAAGUCAUGGUCUGUUCCUGAUAAAUCACGUCGCACAUCUCGCUUGCGGAUUCCCAAUUGUUUGCUCGACACAAGAAAGUUCAUGCCAACAUACAGAGGAAACCAAAGUUCAUGCCAAACAUGGAGAGGAAAUUACAGCAUGGAAAUGGCAGACCGCACAAGAAACUCAGAAGCAGUAGGUAGGCCAUCAGGAGUGCUCGUCAACAGCGGAAGCCGGCUAGUAGUCUUCAGUCCCCACCUGGUAGAGACAACCUAAACUGAUAUUUUCCAACCGAGCUAGAUGACAGUAACUGAAUCCAUCACCAACAUUAGCUGGUGGUCGCUUAACCUGCGACCGAGGGAAUCACGAGGUAAAAAACUCAUAACUGCUCGAGAUGGAUUUAUAGAUUCAGAAGUAAGCAAAACAGUAACACUCCUUUUUAGAGAGAGAGAGAGAGAGAGUAACACAAAUUUUUGAUAAGCUAACUGAGCUAAGCAACAGUAACUGAAGUUCAUCUCCAACUUAGCUGCUGCUUGCUCAAGCUGCAAGCAAGAGCAGAGGGUAAACAUUGUGAUUGCUGGAGAUAAACUACUGACAAAGAAUCAUGUACAUGACUGGUGUUUGCAAUGAUUAUUUUGGAAGUUUUCCAAGAAUCUGGUGGGCUACACAUCUGAAGUAUGUAAGAAAGAAUCUUGAGCGCAAAGCUGAUGCAGUGUGUGACAUCUUGAGUGCAAAAAAGACCAGAGCACAAAGCUGAUGUGGUAUGUCAAGUCACCGUGACCGUGUACGAGUUUCUUGUGGGUACCAACGUUUCUUGUGGGUGACAUCAUACUCAGUCUUGCGAGGACAUUCAUCGAUAUCUGUGGGUACAACUAAAACUUCCUUUGGUAUUAUGACAGAUCCCUUUACAUUUGUUCGGUUGUAGGCAUUCAUUGAUAUCUGAAAUGAACAAAAUUCUAACAAAACAAACUAGAAUUAGGGAAAUAAUAUCACUGUCUAAUAAUAAUAAGCAACUUUUUGAAAUAGCACAUGUUUUUAUACAUCUGUAAAAUUAUCUUUGAGGCAGUUAACAGAUAGCUAGUAGUACAUUUCUAAGCCUACAGAGGGGGCGAUACCUUGACAACCGGUUUGGAUGUAUGGAUUUCCUUUGAAGCCAUCUGAGCAUUUGCAACAGUAACCAAUAUAUACUCUAUGAACAGAAUCGAGGUCUUUAACACUUACUUCCACACACUUGCUGUUGAUACUCACGCAAGCAUAUCUAGAGCUAUUCUGCUGGGCCUCUAAACAACUUAGAUUAGCAGCAACCCAUUGCGCAGAGGAGAAUGACCCAGGAAUAGGAAAAACAAAAUUUUCAGUCAAGCUGUAUAUCCCUUGUUGGUCAAGACUGGUGACAUUAACGGUCCCUUCGUCAAUAUUUAUGCCGAUGACCUGUUUCGCCUCCAACAAGAUCAGGGCAGCUGAUGACGUCGUAUUUGUGCAGUUGAGGUGAAAAUCUUCACUUGCAAAGCAACCCUCUUCUAAGCCAAAUGGGAAUUGCACACUAACGUUACCACACCAACGGGUGCAAUCAGCCCUGCUCGGAAUUGGAUUAUACCCUAGUUUGAUCAGUCAAAAGUUAGCGCAAAAUUCUUAAUAGUUGUAUGUUUGGUCGCCAGAUUAGGAAAAGAGGAUUUACCUCUGUUGUCGAGUGUUGUUAGGCCGAUGGAGGGUAUAGUUUAGAUAUUGGAGUGUCAAGAGGGUGUUACUUGUAAGAGUGUGCUGCUGUAAAAUAUCUGUACAGAGAAAGGAAAGGGUGAGCUUCCAGAGAAAUCUCCUGUCCAUUCCUCUCGCGAGUUACUGUAGCUCAGGCAAUCCUCCAGUGAAAUCAACAUGGCAUCAGAGCAGGUUGGCGUUCCGGCGGCGGCGUAGUCCCUCGCCGGCGAGGUGGCUGGGCCUGGCGGGGUCAGGAGAGAGAGGAGGCUGCUCGUGCGCGUGCGGCGGCGAGGCGGCAGUUCUGAGCGCGGGCUGCUGGAGAGGGGAGCGGCUGCGAGCGCGCGGCUGCGGCAGACGAAGAGGAGGCGUGGUAGCGCGCGGUUGCACCAGAGGACUCACGCAGCGGAGCUGGAGAAGAAGGCUGCGGGCUGGUUGUGUUCUGCUGCGGGCUAGGUGCCGCUGGACUGCUGUUUCUGCUGUCUGAAGGAGUGUGUUCUGCUGUUGCUGCUGAGAAGUGCUCUGCUGUUCUGCUGCUACUGCUACUGCUGUGCUGCUGGAACUGCUGUCUGAAGGAGCGAUUUCUUGCUGGAUUGAGUAGGUGUUGUGUUACUUGUCUGUUUGCCUGUGCGGAGAAGAGAAGAUACGCAUGUAGUAUUGCAGGGUGGAGUAUUUGUGUGGUCCUUGCAGCAAGGGGGAGCUCAUCAGGUGAUUCAGAGUGAUGGGUGAAAAAUCAAGUGCCUCUACUAUGUUGUGUGUUGGUGAACUUGCAGCACUGCUACAGAGAUAAAAAUUAUAAGAUUCUGGAUAAAAUGAUGGGCAAGCAAGGGAAGAGGUCAAGGUCAAUGAACACAGAAGAGAAAAUUUGUUUCUGGUGUGGACAGUCAGGACAUGUGAGGGCAUCUUGUCCUGAAUUGAUCCGAGAAGGUUGUGGAGAUGGACAUAACAGGUAUAACAGAGGACGUGGUCAUGGUUUCGGUAUGUGUGAUGGUGUUGCAAAAUCUUGGCAGAGAAAUGGGGAUUGGCUGUGUCCAAAUGCAAACUGUGGAAAUGUAAAUUUUGCUUUCCGCAGAAUCUGUAAUCUUUGUGGAGUUACACGACCAGCUGGUGAUAGUGGAACCACACAGCUUGUGAGUGUGAGGAUGACUGCAGGAGAUAUGGUGAAGUGGCAGUGGUUUAAAAAGAUGAGUUCAAGUGAAAACUCUUCAAAAGAAGCACCUGUUUCUGCUGUUUCUGCUGGUCCCUGGACUAAUACUUCUAAAGCGGUAAGUUGCGAUCGACCAUGGUUAAUUGAUUCUGGUGCAUCAAGACAUAUGGUGGGAUCCUAUGAGGACUUCUUAAAAUAUGCACCUAAUGUGAUGGGGCAGGAUGUGAAGUUGGCAGAUGGCUCUACCCAAGCUAUUAUGGGAUCAGGGACUGUCAUAUGUGGACCUAAUAUGUCUCUGUCCUCUGUUUUACAUGUUCCCUCAUUCCCAAUUAAUCUAUUAUCUAUCAGUUGUAUUACAAAGGAACUUAAUUGUGCUGUAGUUUUCUUCCCAACUUGGUGUUUGUUUCUGCAACUUGGGACUUGGAAAAUCCUUGGGACAGGAAUUAUGCGAGAUGGUCUAUACUACUUGGAUGAUGAUAUGACACCUAUGGCUGCUGCUGUGCUGUCUCGGUCACCAUUGGAAGAAUUUCUUCUUCAUCAUCGCAGGCUGGGACACAUGUCCUUUAACACCCUGGGUCAGUUGUAUCCUAACCUCUAUAAUAAUAUUUGCAAAGAAAUCCUAGUAUGUGAUGCCUGUCAGUAUGGGAAGCUAACUCGUAGUAUAUAUGCUUCAUCUGAUCACAGAAGUACGGUGCCAUUUCAAACUAUCCACUCAGAUGUGUGGGGUCCUAGUGGAGUGUGGUCACUUUAUGGGUACAAAAUUUUUGUUACAUUUAUUGACUGUUGCACUAGGACUACUUGGGUUUAUGUACUGAGAAAUAAAAGUGACGUGUUUGAAUGCUUUAAGGAUUUGCACAACUUAAUCAAAAAUCAAUAUGAUGCACGGGUGAAAAUAUUUCGAACUGACAAUGGUACAGAAUAUGUAAAUAACCAAUUUAAUGAGUAUUUGUCAAGCUUUGGAAUUAUCCAUCAAACUAGUUGCCCAGGUACUUCCCAGCAGAAUGGGUUGGCUGAAAGGAAGAACAAACAUCUCUUAGAAAUCACCCGGUGUAUCAUGUUAGCUAUGAAUGUUCCUAAAUAUUUAUGGGCUGAAGCUGUGAUGACAGUGGCUUAUUUGAUGAAUAGAAUGCCAUCCCGGGUGCUCAAUAACAAGACACCAAUUGAGUGUCUAACUGGUGAAACUACAUAUGUUGUGCCACCAAAGGUAUUUGGGUGUGUAUGUUUUGUGAGGGAUCAUAGACCAUCGGUUGGCAAGCUUGAUCCUAGAGCGGUGAAAUGUGUAUUUGUGGGAUACUCUGGAAAACAAAAGGGUUAUAAAUGUUGGUGCCCAUCAGAAAAACGGAUGUUUGUGAGCAUGGAUGUAGUAUUCAGGGAACAUGAACCAUAUUAUGGGGAACCAGUAGAUUUAACCGAUGUCUUUCCUGAUGAUGUCACAGGCCUGGAUAACGAGACAGGGGGAGAUGACAGCAGAGAAGACAAUGAUGUAGCACCAGAGAAGAUGAUAGUUGGGGUUAUACCUAUUGAAGAUUGGCGAGACGAUGCAGUGCGAGAACAUGAACAGAGGGAACAACAAAGUGACUCUAAUGGAGCAUUGCAAUGGCCAAAACCGAAUGAGGAACGAGAAGUUCAAGUGUUUACACGGAGGAAUAGAUGACCAAAAACGAAUGAGGAACGAGAAGUUCAAGUGUUUACAAGGAGGCAUAGAAUUGAGAAGGAGCAAGUGCAGAGGCAAGAACCUAACCCACUGGAGUGUGGUACAGAAACUCAAGAGCUUACUGAUACACAUGAUUUAGAUGAUGGUACGCUUCCUCAUUCUCUUCCACAUGAGGAUUUAGAUGCUCCUAUUGCUCUUAGGAAGCAGCCCCGCACUACUGCUGGAAAAUUACCAUCAAAGCUAUCUCCAUAUGAUGUCUCAAAUUAUGUGUCAUAUGCAUCCUUGGGUUCCAAGUAUAAGUCAUUCGUUGUAGCUUUAGAUUCUAUAGAUCCUAUACCACAUGACUGGCAAGUAGCAAUAAAGGACCCAAGAUGGAGAACGGCAAUGUUUGAAGAGAUGGAAGCACUUGACAAAAAUAAUACUUGGAUUCUCACCACUAUUCCUACAGGGAAAAAGACUGUGGGUUGUAAAUGGGUAUUCACAGUAAAACAAACUCCAGAAGGUAAAGUGGAGAGGUAUAAGGCCAGGUUAGUAGCAAAGGGAUAUAGCCAAACCUAUGGAGUAGAUUAUGAUGAAACGUUUGCCCCAGUAGCAAAAAUGAACACCAUCAGAACAAUAAUCUCAAUUGCAGCAAACCGUAAUUGGAAAUUGUUUCAAAUGGAUGUUAAAAAUGCGUUCCUCCAUGGAGACUUGCAGGAAGAGGUGUAUAUGGAGAUUCCUCCAGGAUUCAAUAGCUGUGAGACUGAAGGCAAGGUUUGUAAACUAAAAAAAAAAUCCCUCUAUGGUCUAAAACAAUCACCUCGAGCAUGGUUUGGAAGGUUUAGAAAAGGAAUGUGCUCCUUGGGAUAUCAACAGAGCAAUGCUGAUCACACUCUCUUCUUUAGACGUCAUCGUGAUAAGAUUACUAUACUGACUGUAUAUGUUGAUGAUAUAGUAAUCACAGGGGAUGAUGUUGAGGAGAUAUCAUACUUGAAGAAGAUGAUGGCUAAAAUAUUUGAAGUUAAAGACUUGGGCUAUCUUCAUUAUUUUCUGGGGAUUGAAGUUGUUUAUGGGGCACAAGGUAUUUACCUCUCUCAAAGGAAGUAUGCACUUGAUCUUCUUAAUGAAACAUGUAUGUUAGGAUGCAAACCAGCGGCCACACCUAUUGAGCAAAAUCAUCGUACCUUGGCAGACUCAGGUGACCCCGUAGACAAAUACCAAUAUCAGAGGUUAGUUGGCCGUUUAAUCUAUUUAUCGCACACAAGGCCAGAUAUUGAAUAUGCAGUUAGUGUUGUAAGCCGUUAUAUGCAUGAUCCUCGUUCAGGCCAUCUAGAAGUGGUAAAUCGAAUUUUGAGAUAUCUAAAAGGCUGUCCAGGGAAGGGAAUCUUAUUUUCUAAUCAUGGACAUUUGAAGGUAGAGGGAUAUGCUGAUGCAGAUUGGCUGGAUGUCUAGAUGAUAGACGAUCUACAUCAGGUUAUUGUGUGUUUGUUGGGGAUAAUCUAGUUUGUUGGAGAAGUAAAAAGCAAAAUGUGGUGGCACGAUCUACUGCUGAGGCAGAAUUCAGGUCUAUGGCUUCUGGUUUAUGUGAACUGAUGUGGUUGAGGAUAUUACUAUCUGAGCUCGGUCUAUUUGAUGGAGGACCACUACAACUCUAUUGUGAUAACCAAGCUGCAAUCAAUAUAGUGCACAAUCCAGUUCAGCAUGAUAGAACUAAGCAUGUUGAAAUUGAUAGACAUUUCAUUAGAGAGAAGUUAGAUGAGGGGAGCCUUCGUGUUACUUUUGUUAGAUCUGAUAGUCAAUUGGCAGAUGUACUUACAAAAGGUGUUAGUGUUGUGUCUUUUGAGAAACUAUGUAGCAAGAUGGGGCUAAUAGACUUAUUUGCCCCAUCUUGAGGGGGAGUGUUGUUAGGCCUUUGAUGGAGGGUAUAGUUUAGAUAUUGGAGUGUCAAGAGGGUGUUACUUGUAAGAAUGUGCUGCUGUAAAAUAUCUGUACAGAGAAAGGAAAGGGUGAGCUUCCAGAGAAAUCUCCUGUCCAUUCCUCUCGCGAGUUACUGUAGCUCAGGCAAUCCUCUAGUGAAAUCAACAUCGAGCUUGGAGCAACCAUCUGGAAAGUAGGGGUUGCCUGUAUAGCCAAUGCUGCACAUGCAGUUGUAGCCAUGGCUUCCGUUAAAGCACUCGGCAUGCUCGCUGAUACAUGCAUAGUCUGCCUUGUUUUUCUUGGCAGCAACGCAGUUGGAUUGGUCGACUAUCUGCCACCAUAGCAGAAGGCCACUCGGCCCAUCACUAGCUAUGUUGAUUCUAUCCCACAGCUUAGAGGUGUGGUUAGAGAGUGCAUCAAUGUUGCUUUUGCUGUGGUUGUUGACAAGUUUGAGGUGAAAACUAGUGUUACCCUCCAUAUAAAGAUGACAGCAUCCGGAAGUACUUUCACAGUGCUGCAUAUCAACCUGGUGCCAUCAUCUUCGACAGAGUAUAUCCCGAGGUCACAGCCCGUAAUGUUUAGAAUAAUGGUCUCACGUGAGAAGGAUUUCCCAGGCAGUUACAAAGACAAGUUGUAGACAACUAGACACUGACACCAGGUUGCAUAGGGAUGGUAUGCGAGAAGGAGGCCGCGAUGGAGUUACUACCAGAAAAAGAUUCUUCAAAGCUAAUCACCUGGGUGAUGCCAUCACGCAAAUACAGUCUAGGGGAAUGCGCGGUUUCGUUGCAGGUGAGGUUGAAGUCGGCCCCCCGGGAACACAUGGAUCCGAUGCCGAAGGCGUAGCCGAUGCUCACAUUUCCACAGCUCUUUGGGCAACUGUGGAGCGUGCCAUGUGAGGGUUGCACCCAGCCUCCUGCAGGGUUGUAACUUGUUACGCCUCCUGAUGCUAGCGCAGCUAGCUUUCCUCGUGACCCGAGUACCAACAAAGGGAGUAGUGCAUAGAUCACUGGCAAAAUGCUCAUGAUCCACACCCCCUUUCACAGCUCCCAAUUGCACUUGAGAUUCAGUUUAGACAUCAGUGUAUGUAUUUGAGGAUUUCACAGUGUUGUGAAGUGAAUGGCUCAGGGGGGCCUUCUCUUAUAUGGCUUGCUAGUGGAAACAUAUGGUGAUACUUGUCCCAACUAACAAGACAUGGUGGAGAACAAGAAUGGUACUCCCUCCGUUUUUAAAUAUAUAUAAGACCUUUUAGAGAUUUCAAUACGCACUACCUACGAAUGUAUAUAGACACAUUUUAGAAUGCAGAUUCACUUAUUUUGCUUCGUAUAUAGUCUAUAUUGAAAUUUUUAAAAGGUCGUAUAUUUAGAAACGGAUGGAAUACGCACCAGGACUCCAGAAGACGUUGACGCGCUUGAUUUGGCCACACUCCACUACUUACUUGUGGAAGUUUACGUGGUUGACUUGGCCACAUUCCAAUACUUGUUGUUGGUCGCAUAAAAUGGACGUCGCAAGUCAGUCUGAGUUGGCUUGACCACAGAGUGCGCAAUCUGUGUGAGACGAUUAGUAUUCAUUUUAAGAAAAAAAAACAUAGAACUAACAUUAAGCAAAUAAAUUGAUCUGAAUUGUUCAUUGCGAACUGCCUCUUCCUUCUCGGGCAGCAGAGCAAUUGUCCCAAAGUUAAGUUUAAAAAGCUGAAGCUGCCCAUUAAGCAUAUCNNNNNNNNNNNNNNNNNNNNNNNNNNNNNNNNNNNNNNNNNNNNNNNNNNNNNNNNNNNNNNNNNNNNNNNNNNNNNNNNNNNNNNNNNNNNNNNNNNNNNNNNNNNNNNNNNNNNNNNNNNNNNNNNNNNNNNNNNNNNNNNNNNNNNNNNNNNNNNNNNNNNNNNNNNNNNNNNNNNNNNNNNNNNNNNNNNNNNNNNNNNNNNNNNNNNNNNNNNNNNNNNNNNNNNNNNNNNNNNNNNNNNNNNNNNNNNNNNNNNNNNNNNNNNNNNNNNNNNNNNNNNNNNNNNNNNNNNNNNNNNNNNNNNNNNNNNNNNNNNNNNNNNNNNNNNNNNNNNNNNNNNNNNNNNNNNNNNNNNNNNNNNNNNNNNNNNNNNNNNNNNNNNNNNNNNNNNNNNNNNNNNNNNNNNNNNNNNNNNNNNNNNNNNNNNNNNNNNNNNNNNNNNNNNNNNNNNNNNNNNNNNNNNNNNNNNNNNNNNNNNNNNNNNNNNNNNNNNNNNNNNNNNNNNNNNNNNNNNNNUAGCCUCAAAAUUAGCCUCUCUUUCUGUAAAAGAAGCUUUAAGCACAUCACUCAUUCUCAUCGGCCCGAUGUUGUGCGAUAUCCCCCCACCCUUCCUUCAUAUAGGGACACAAAACUAUCUAACGAGGCCCCGAAGAGCUUUUUAGUGGCUUGUUAGUCAAAAUAAAUGACGACACUUGACCCAACUAACAAGACAUGGCGGACAACAAGACUCCAGUAGACGUUGACGUGGUUAAUUUGGCCACACUCCACUACUUACUUGUGGACGUGGAGGUGGUUGAUUUGGCCACACUCCACUACUUACUUGUUGCCAGCCGGUCGCACAGCAAUGACCUCCCAAGUCAGUUGGCCAAUGCCUGCCUUCUUGUGAACGUUACUCUAGCCCAUCAAAGGGGGCACUGACAAGUCUUUGAAAUCGCAUCGCAUUGUUUUGGUUUGUGCUUCGUGCUGCACAGAGAAAAAAAUUGCCAGCAUGCAUGACACGAAUCUCAUGCCAAACUUGCAGUCUGCAGAGUAGACCAACCAUACAUACCAGCAGCAGCGAGUCCUUGCUGUGCAUGCAGAACUGCGGUAUGAAGAUGUCAAAUUAACCACGGAGGCAUGCGUCCAGUUCUUGAGAGGCAUCCUCUGUCUGCCCCGAGGACAUCGGAGGUGGCGGGUGGAGUGGGCGAGCAGCGGGGCGCGAUGGGCUACCGGACCACCAUGGAGCGCGCGCGUCCUCUUGGACGACGCCGACGGAGGCGGCGAGCUGCCGCGCACGUACGGUGCGGCGUCAGGUACCAAGGUACGUACAAUGGAGGGAGCUAAUGGAUAGUGGGAGGGAGAUACCGAGGCACCAACUGGAAGAAAGAAGGUGCGCGCUCCCGCACGCCGGAGGCGAGGGGAGGGGAUGGACUGCCUGGCCAUGACGAUGGUCGCCGCGCAGUUUGGGCCCUCCGCCGCUGUACUCUCCUCCAUCCAGCCAGCGAGUCCAUCCUGGGCCGGGUGAUGACCAAACCCAUAUAAUGCAGCUCGGACCUCGCCAAAGCGGGAGCUCCUAUUGGACGCUCUUUGCGUCAAAUUGGCGGCCAGACGCACAGGCGCAGCUCGACUGGGCCGGCCCGUGAAGCUUCACCGCGGGACGAAAAAGAUGGCAAAAAAGAAAGGCAGGCGCAACGACGAUUCCAACUUGUGACCAAGUGCUUGAGACCGCGCACACGUCGCCAACCCAGUAGACUAGUACAGUUUUCUCAAAAAAGAAAGUAGACUAGUACGGUUGGUUAAAGAGCAGCCUAUCUGUUAAAGAACUAAACCUGACUUGUGCACUGUAGCGAACAAGAACCAAUUACUGUAGCGAACCCAAAAUUACUUGUUGUAUUAAAUGUUUUUUAAGUAUACUUUCUUUCAAUGUGUCUCUUUAAAAAAGUGCGCACAUUUUUUGAAUUCAUGAAAAAAAAAUAGAGACAGGAACAUUUUUCGAAUAUAUGAACAAAAAAAAUUAAAAAGUCAGAUUUUUUUGUGAUAACUUGAAAUAUUUUUUGAGUUUAUGAACAAACUAUGAAAUUCCGAACAAAUUCGAAACCAUGUGAACAUUAUGAAAUUCCAAAGAUGUAACCACAACCUUUUUUUGAAUUUAUGAACAAAUUAUGAAAUUCCAAACAAAUGUAUAACUUCGGACAUUUUUUGAAUUUGUGAACAAAAAUUGGAUAAAUGGAACAUUUCGUGAUAUUCCAAACAAAAAUUCAAACAGCGAACAUUUUUUUAAUUGGUGAACAAAAAAUAAAAAAUGGAAUAUUUCAUGAAAGUAUGAACAAAAGUUUAAAACCACAAACAUUUUUCGAAAUUUCUUGAACAUUUUUAAAAUUUGUAUCCAAAUUUUGAAAACGUGAACAUUUUUUGAAAAUGCAAAUAAUUUUUUUGAAGAACAAGAACAAUUUUCCAAAAAUGGGAACAAAUGUGAAAUUCCAAAACAUUUUUGAAAGUUUGAACAAAUUUGAAAACACGGACAUUUUUCGAAAAUCAUGAGAAAAUUUUGGAAAAUGGGAAGAAAUGUGAAAUUCCAAAACUUUUUGAAAAUUUGAACAAAUUUGAAAACGUAAACAUUUUUUGAAAAUCACGAACAAAUUUUGAAACACCGAACACAUUUUGAAACACAAACAAAUUUUGUAAAUUUUUUGAAAAGAACGAAAUGUUUUUUGAAACCUGAACAAAAGAAUCAAACAUUUUUUAUAAAAAGCCAAAUAAAGUAUUGAAUAUAUUGAAUUAUUUUUUGAAAAUGCGAUAUUUCCAAAACAAAAAUAAAAGAAAGAAAGAAACAGGAAAACGAAAAAACGUGAAAGAAAGAAACAAAUAAUAGCAGACCUCUUUGCAUGUAUAAGACUCUAGUGUUGUUAAGCUCGAGUGGCUAGAUACGCAUCUCCAGGAGUAGGAGGUUUGAGGUUAGAUUCCUCCCUCUCUUCAUUUUUAGAGCGAUUUUCUCUGUAGGAAGCAUUCGACAUGGGCUGCCCCACGAACGGUCGAUGGGUGUGCGACAGGUCGACAUUUUGGCGCAAAAUGCGGCGAAUAGGGUUUUCCAACCGAAGCGGCCGCCCCAUUACAGCGAGGUUCUGCUGAAGCGCCUACACCGUAGCCCGAUACUGCAGUGCCUAAUUCUGUAGCGGGCAUUUUUAGGAAAAAAAACUUGAUACUGCAGGUCUUUUGUAGAAGAUGAACAUUCUUUGAAACACCUGAAAGAAACUAAAAUUUUGAUUUGUCUAAUAAAACAUGAAACUUUUUGAAAUUUCAAAUAUAUUUUAUAAAGACGAAAAAAAAUUAAAUUGUAAAAAAACAGGAAUAAAAUUUGAUUUUGUUAAUUUUUGGAUUUCCUUCAUUUUCUUAAAAUGCGUUUUUAAACUCUGAACCUUUUGGAAUUUUCCAAACAUUUUUUUAAAAACAUGAACGAACAUUUUAGUUGUUAAUAUUAUUUUUAAAAAUAUUAACAUUUUUAUUGGAAAACAUGAACAAAGUUUUGGAAUCUAAAUUAUUUUUUAUAAAGCGAUCAAUUUUUUAUAUUAGUGAUUUUAUGAAAAAACAAAACAGUCAAAAAUAGAAAAAACCUAAAAAACACAGGAAAAAAAGUCAAUUCAAGAACCUUCUAAAAGGUUUCCAAUGACGGUAAAAACCUAAGCCGAAACUUGCCAGAAGGUUCUCGAAACUGGAACCAACGUGCACAACUUAGAAACGUCAAAAUGGGAUGGCCUAGCUCGGUGCGCUGGGUGCAUUUCAACAACAAUUUGAUGCAACGAGUGUCAUACAUGGUUUUCCAACCCAACCCUCCUAUCUGCAUCUACAGUCUAGGAAAAUGGCGUUUUUUUAGAGAUGCGUGAGGUUUCCAGAGAACUGCAGCCAUCACUAUCGGAGAAUUACGGUCUCCUCGUCUUUGACUGCCAUCUCGGCGCUGAGAGGUGAGGGGACGUCGGAUGUUAAGAGUUUGAUAAUCUUUGCUAGUGUCUAGUGACGAUCAUAGUUUUGUGAUAAUAAGUUAUUAUCAUUCUUUUUGGCGGUGUCGUGAAGAGACAAAUUUGUGUCCUUGCUGAUCUGAUUUUGAUGUUUAUGUUUUUUUGUUGGUGUGCUUCUUUGUGGAGUUGAAAUAUUUCAUCGACACCAAUGGUGAAGAUAUUGUGAUUCGACAGCUUACACUUCUAGGGGAUCGUCGCUGGCCCAAGUGUGUUCAGCGCUCAAAGCUUUCCGUCUUUUUGGAUGGACGACUCAAGGGGCUUUUAGAAAUCUUUAUUGGUAAUCAAAUUUGUGCGGAUGAAAGAGUGAUAAAAUCAUUUCUCCGGUCUUAUUGCAACCUCUUUAUCAAGUCUUGGGAGUAUUUUGUCUUGCAAAUAUUGAUACCAUGGAUAAGUUUAUCCUUCGUAGCAUGGCCAAAGAGGGAUAACCUAUAAGGCUAUGAACACAACAAUAUAUGUGUCAUAAAUUUGGCACUUCAGCGAUGCCCAGAGGCCGCACCAGUGGCUAGUCUCACCUAUUCAUCUCCAAAGAGUAAAUAUGGGAACCGUUUGGACUGAAAGAUAGUUUUUCGAUUGGUUUUUGAUUGGAUUGAGAAGCAAACCAGUUGGGUUUGGUUUGGUUUGUGCCUAAGAAUGGGCUGAAUAGGUUUGGGUUGGGUUUCAGAUUUUUCGGUCGUCCCAGGUGAAGCUAUAUAUGUGGAGCCCCACAUCCGGCGGUAUGCGUACCGCAGCCACGGUGAUCAUAUCGAGAUUCAGGACAAGUGCCACACACGUGUCGGGAGAGAAGAACGGCACGUUGAUUUUCAGUGGCAGCAACUGCCAUGGGCACAUUGUCAACCUGAAAAAGACUUGUCUUGCACUCAAACAUGGAGAUACUAAUCCAAUUAGUCGCGUCUGCUAGAGACGAGCAAUGUGACGCUCUGUUGCAAGGACGAUUUUUUUUCUUAAAAAAGAUGUUAUCCCCUGGCCUCUGCAUCAAAAUGAUGCAUGCGGCCUUCUUAUUAAUAAGCAAAUAGUUCAACAAAAUCUUCAGGUCUCAAAAAGCAAAAUAAGCUCCCAAAAAGCAAAACAACAUGAACCAGGCAGGGCNNNNNNNNNNNNNNNNNNNNNNNNNNNNNNNNNNNNNNNNNNNNNNNNNNNNNNNNNNNNNNNNNNNNNNNNNNNNNNNNNNNNNNNNNNNNNNNNNNNNNNNNNNNNNNNNNNNNNNNNNNNNNNNNNNNNNNNNNNNNNNNNNNNNNNNNNNNNNNNNNNNNNNNNNNNNNNNNNNNNNNNNNNNNNNNNNNNNNNNNNNNNNNNNNNNNNCCGAAAGUCUGGGGCCCCCUCCCAGGUAUACGUACGUUAAUACGUACAGGUCUUCGAGGGGGCAAAUCAAUCAGCGCCUGGCUCUUUUGUUUUUUAUUUUGAUCAAAUCUCGGCGCCUCGCUCAGCUUCUGCGUGCUAGCUAGCAUAGAAAAGUAAACAGAUUUGGUGGGCCUGGCCCAUAUUCGCACGUACAUGGUCACGUGGAGACCGGAGAGAAAAGGAAUCGUUCCAUUGAUUUUCUGUAACUUUGGAUUGGAUCAGCCGUUCCCUACCUUUUCUCCUCUUCCGCUGUACGUGUUCGUCUAAUCUCAUUGACUCUGUGACUGCGUCUCUGCCUCCUCACGAACGACGCGAGGACUGCGGCAGGUACAUCUGGUUGCGCCCUCUUCCUCUCUUCCCUCGCAUGAUCUUCGUCCUAUUUCUUUCUUUUCUCAUCCUGAUUCCCAAUUUCUCGAUCGAUUGACAGAUUGACAGAUUAACACGACAUUGUUUUUAGGGCGCUCAAAUCAUUGCGUCCACUUUGCCAGAUUAGAUUAUAUAGAGAAGGUAUUAUUCCAUGCCCUAGCAAAUUCUCAUUAUAUUAGAUGGUCUUCUGCACUUAAUCUAAUGUUUUAAUUAGUUUUGCGGUAAUUUUAAAAAUUAAUUGUUCUUUUCAAUUUCAGCAGGGUCAUGUCGAGUUCAGGUAGAAAGUAUACAUCCAGAAGUCAUAAAAGGAAAAAAGAAGGAGGCAGAUUAAGAGAAAGAAGCAUUGAGCGGAUCUCUUUUUAAAUAUUAUAAGAGCGAUACGAGCACGCCAAAAAAUCCAGACGAGUUGGCGAUAGUUCUUGCGGGUGACCAAACUAAUGGCAAUCAAGAAGAUGAUGGUCAUACUCCUACAGAAGGCAAUGUUGACGUCAACAUGGAUGAUAGCAAUGUGAGUGAUCAUGAGCCCAUAUUUAAUUCAUAUGCGGUAGAAUCUACUAGUGUUGAUGAGGAACAAGUUAGUGUGGAUAUUUAUGACCCAAGCAGUUGGGGUAAUCUUGAUAACAAAGCGAGGGACAUAUUAGUGGAAAAGGGGCCUAAAAUGGAAAAAGAAAACAAUAAAUAUCCUUUGGAUGAAAAUUCAAGACAUUUUUCGUAUAGCCAUUAUUACUCCAGAAAGAUGAGCAAUGGAGAGGUGCGUGAUACGAAAUGGUUAGUUUUUUCAAAACACACAAAGAAAGUGUUUCCUUUUCGCUGUAAGCUUUUCAAUUCUGAUAAAUGCAAGAGUGCAAUGGGGAAUGAUGGGUUUUGUGAUUGGAGGCAUAUUAAUGAAAGACUGAAAGAGCACGAAGCUAGUGAUUUUGCAUCUCAGAAUGUUAGGAGAAAUAUUUGAAGCUAUAUGUAAUACAUUAUGUGAUAUGCAUAAUCAUUUUGGAUGCACUUUCUUUGAUACAAAUUAUAUGUACAUACGAUGAUUAUUAAUAGGCAUUUAUACUAAGGGCCCCAAAGGGCCCCGGAUUGUCGUUUCGCCCCGGGCCCCCAAAAUCUUAGGACCGGCCCUGAAACCAGGAUAGCCAUAACCCGCGGAAUAAAGAUAGAUAGGCAACUAGACACCUAUCCUAUUACAUAUCCUAUUACAUGACCGCCACCCAAACCGGUUGAAGAUAGCCCGCGCUAUCGUCUCCCACCGGAUAGACCUAGUGACCAUACACUCCUUGGCAUCCGUCGGAGUGUGUACCGACCACAUACGGAUCAGUGUAGUGGCCGAAAAAAUAACUUGCAAGAAAUGAAUAUGUGUUGUUCUGUUAAAAAACCAAAUCGUUCCUACAGUUUCAUAAAGCCCAUAAUAAAGCACAUACUCCUAGAUGAAUAUGUUUCACUGUUUUUGGCUCAAUCCAUCUAGCCACGUCCCAAAUAACGUGUGGAUGGUAGUCACAAGAGCCCUUUUUUGCCUCUUAGGCCCGAAAUUAGCGCCGGCGGACCCAGGCCGAACCCGGUGCACUGGGGGGCGCCCAUGGGCGCCGAGGCAAUCAUUUUUGGCGCGAACGAACAACGGGCCCGCCGAGUCAGCGGCCCCCGCGUCAUCGUCCUCACAACGCCUUGGUAUCCCGCGGGGGAUCAAUGCCAAGACUGCCGCCGGUCAGCCUUCCAUUGAUUCCUCACGUGCCGGCGCGGUGCGGCGACGCGCCCCCCCGCCACGCGUACACAUAAUGCCGCCUCCCCCUCCCUCCACCGCUAUAUAAAGCUGCACCUCCCUCGCCGGAGGACGCACCCGCCCGCAGCCCCCUCUUCCCCCGUUCACAGCUGCCGCUGACGAACUCUUCCCUCUCUCUCCCCGUUCAAAGCUGCCGCAGACUAUGGGCGAGAGGUUCCUCGGCGAUGGGGCGGCAGCCAAUGGCUUCUGUCGUCGCUCGCUGCACGAGUUGGAAGCCCACCUCCUGUAUGAAGCCAACAUUCCGACGCCUCCCCACAUGCGCGCGUCGGGGCGGUGAAGGCUUAGCGCCGGGGGCAUCCCCGUGCCCCCGCUGCCCAACGUGACGCGCCCCGACAACUUCAACGACGAGGUUGAGCGCGUGCGGGCGUCGCUGACGGAGGAGCAGCGAGCCCUCCCGGAGUACGCCGCCGGCAACCACGAGGCGUGGGAGGCGUACUUCGGACAUCGAUAGGCGGCGCGGCUGGCCUCCACCAACAAUGCUCCUGUGGUGCGGGGCACCAAGAACAGCGACGGCCGCCGCCUGUGGUGGGGCGCCCUCGGCCGCACGUUCCACGCCGUCCUACAACACUUCGAGGGCGGCAACGAGACGCCGUUGACGUACCCUGCCGCCCCGGUCCCCCGCCGGAGCGGCGGUCAAUUUAUGCCGAGGAGGACCGCUUCCUCUUCCUCCUCUUCCCACUCCUCCUCCUUCUCCUCCUCCCACUCCUCCGGCUCGCCGGCACUCUUCAGUGUCAAGGCCGAGCCAGCAGAGACGCCGCUCGGCCGGCGCACCCGCAGCGCCAGCAUCGUCAUCAAUGAGGGCGGGCGCGCCUCCUCUCCGGCUCCUCCCCGCCUCAUCAAGCCGAAGAUGGACCCGGGGCUCGCCGCCGUGAAGACGGAGCCAGGCCUCGCCGCCGUGAAGAUGGAGCCGUGGCUCCACGACACGGCGGCCUUGAACUGGGCGAAAGAGGACUGGGCGCGGCUGGAAUUGGAUCGUCAGCGCCGCACCCUAGAGGAGAUCGCCACUUGGCGCCGGGGCCGCGACGAGGGAGGUGUCGUCGUUCUCGACGACAGCGACGGCGAUGCGCCGCCGCCCGUCCGCCAUGGCGACCCCGGGCAAGGGUCGAGCAGCGGCGCCCGCGUGAAGGAGGAGAAGGACGAUGACAACGGCGGCGACAACGGUGACUACGCCGCGUUCAGCGAGUUCUUCGGUUGUAGUCAUGGCCUUUGUUUUUUUAGUAAAUUUUAAAUUUGCUAUGUGAAAACUGCUUUAAGUCGCCGAAGUUUGUGUCCUGCUUGCCGAAUUUUAGCCGAAUAUCUUUCUAAAAAAGUUUAAAAUAGACGUCUUGGGCCAACCCUAGGGCGCGGCUGGGACCCUGAUCGGCCCUAGGCAAAUUUUAGCGCCGGUUCGCUCCUAGGCGGUGAAUUUUCGGAGCCCCUCCGAACGGCUGGGGUUACUCUAAAAACUAGCGGGGUAACCCAUGCAUUUGUGCGGCUAGACUCGAUAUCUGUUGUUUAAUUUGAAAUUUAUUGGCUUCAAGAUGUUGUUGUCUAAACGCAUGGGAUAUCAUUUCUUAGGUGAGCCUUUCCCGCCUGGGUGGUAAGUGUAAAUGAUAAAUCACCUUCAUUUCGGCAAAUCAUAGUGAGACAUGAAAGACGGGAACUCGUUAAUAUUUUGGUCCACAACUAUAUAUAUAAUGUUUAUUUUAUUUUUAAUAAAAAAUUUGUAAGUAUCCUAAGUAGUUUUGAAAAUUAUUACUAAGUGGAGUUAUAUGCUGGGACAUACAUAUUGAAAUUAGCUUUAUUUUUAGUUUUGUUUCAGAUUUCAUGUGUCAAACUAUUAGUGUAACUCGAGCAUUUGUGUAGCUAUAUAUGUUGUAUUGUUCCUUGCAAAAAAAGUAGUACUGUUAUAUAUGUAUUUUUCACAUAUGUAUUAUGAUCGUGUUGAUACGUUCAGGGUUGUAGAAAAGUCCAUAUCGCAAAAUAGAUGAUUGUUAUAGCUUUAUCGAGCUCAGGCAGCUAUUCUCCCUCUACCAAUUGUUACAUGAAUUAACCUAUCACAAUGUUAAAAUUUAUACAUCAUACAAAAUAAAUUAAAUAAGUUUAGCCAAUGCAUCUUGACGAAACAUAAUUGUACUUUGAUGGGAAUUGUAUGCAUCUAGUGAGCAGCUUGAUUCCAUGCAAAUAGAGGGUUGUAGUCUGUAUUGUGCAAGCAAAAUUAUAUAGUUUCAUGUUAAUUUCUUGUUUAGUUCAUCAAUCCCCCUUAUUUAUUCGUUGGAGUAUAUGUUCUCAAAGAGUUGAGGAGUUUCUAGUGAUGACCGAAUAUUAAUAUUUAUGGCUUAUGUCGAAACCAAAUGUUGUAUUGUAGUUUUAUUUACACUUAAUGCAAGAUUAGUCUCAGUUGCAUGUGUUGUAUUGUACUGGUAUUUACACUUAAUGCAAGAUUAGUCUCAUAUGCAUGCAUGUAUGCUUCCGCACACGCUCACCUUAUUAAUUUUUUAUUUUCUGAACUACCGAAAGUAAUGUAAUUAUCGGUGUACGUACAUUCAUCGAAAGUUUCCUAAACAGUAUUUCAUUCACUUUCAGUGGAAUCCGGCACUACGACGGCAUAAAUGAUUCUUCGACGACAUGAUGGUUCACUUAUUCUCUUCUCUAACUCUCUCAAUAUGGAAUUAAACUCAUUUCCCACGCAAAAAAUGGCAUUUUACACUUGAAAUAAUUUCUUGCAUCGAAUCUUUGUUCUUGUACCCACAUAACCAUUUUUUCCAUAUGAUAUGGACACAUGUGCACGUAAUAUCUUUCAUAUGAUAUUUAUUAUGUCCUUUAAAAUUGUAAUUCUUUUCAGCUAGCAACUUCUCGUAUUGCUUCUCACCUUUUUCAAGUUUGCUAUUGUUGGGGUAAUAGUCUUCCUAUACUGUAUACAGAUCGGACUGCUAUCCUCUAGCUAUGUUUUUUUUUCAAGAUUUUCCUCUAGCCAUGUCAACGUACGUGAAAUUAUUCAGUAUAUGUGAGCGCACUUGUUUUCUUUCCUCGUUUAUUCUCUCGCUAUGUUUUUUCUAAGACUUUCCUCUAGCCAUGUACGUCCGUGAGAUUGUUUAAUUAUUAGGUAUCCCACGGAAGAAAAAGAUCGUUAAUUAGCUAUGUGUAGCGUGGCUAUAUUUUCCUCUUCUAUUGCAAAAGAAAAAAAGAAGAAUCCAAACCGGACAUGGUUUCUAGUUGUCCUUAUGCACGUUAUGGUUGUUGCACUUUUGCAUCCCAGAUCCAUGUACGUGCCAGAACGUCUGUGCAAAACGAUGCCUGUACUAAUAUUUAUAUGUUACGUUACGUCUUAAAAUUCUAGCCCUUAAUGUUUAUAAUUAGUGGUUAAGAUAAUUUAAUCUGUGCGGACAAACGUGAUGGCUUGUUUGUCUUUUGUCUUAAUUAUAUAAUAAUAGAUAGAUUCUGAAUAGACAGUAGGUCAAUCUAUCACAAAGGAUUCCUGUGGAUGUGUGCUUUGAUGACAUGUGUGAGCAGAUGAUGAUGACCCUCGUACUGCGUACAUGCCCAUGUGGAUAUGGCAGCGGACGACUCAAUACAAUAUCGAAGAAGAUUACCAUGACCGUGACCUCGUAAACCGUGCCGCAGGAAGACCUCAGGAAGUCGGUCCAUUAAAAAGGGGUCAGUCUAAAGUCUGUUCCUGAUAGGAAACCAAAGAUGAGAGGGAACAAAUGAGCACGCAAAAAGCAGUAGAUGGGGGGCAUCAUGUGAGCGCGGGGUCGUACCAUUCAACCUGUUGUGAUUGUCAUCCUGCUCGUCAACAACCGCUAGCAAUCUUCAGCCCCCACCUAGUCGAGGCAACCUAACUGAUACUAACUUCCAACCUAGCAAGGUGUGACAGUGACCGAAUCCAUCACCAACAUUAGCUGGAGUUCAAGCAGAGACCAAGGGAAUUACGUUGUAACUGUAACCACUUAGAUAUGUACACAGAAGCAAGCAAACCAGUAGCUCCAACUUGUAGAUAAGCUAAAUGACGUAAGUAAGAGUAACGGAACUCCAUCCCCAAUUUUAGAUGUUGUUUACUUAAAGCCACAACCAUGAGCACGCAGUAAAAUGUCUGAACAACGGGAUAUAACCUACAGACACAGAAUCAAGUAACAGAGUGACAGGUAAUGAGCACGUGUACAUAGAUUCCGUAGGGUUCUUUUUUGGUGGUCAAGUGGAUUCAUCGGAAGAAGUGAAGAGAACACAAUGCCCAAUGCCUGGGAGAGAUUGCUCAAUCUCUUGGAAGGAUGCAUAUCCAACAGUUCAAAGGCCUCUGGUGCCUGUCCCAAGGACAUUGCUCAGUCAUCUACAAGUGUGAUUUUUCUUUGGGUCUGGUACGGUAGUGUAAACUGAGAAAAUUUUAAGUUGAAGUGUAGGUAUGGAAUGCAGGUGAUGUGCAAGGGCCAGCACAUGGUGCUACGUACCUGGCCGGUGCUGGUGGUGUUCCAGUGUGGAAAAGGGCUACACAGCUAAAGUAUGCAAGAAUCUCGAGCACAAAGGUGAUGUGUUAUGUCACAUCUUGAGUGCAAAAAAGACUUGGCACAAAGCUGAUGGGGUAUGUCAAAUCAGCGAGUCCGUGUCCAUGCCACAGGUGCACGUCAUGGGUGCCAACGUUGUGCAUCACGGAGUAAAAUUCUGAACGCUGCAGAUAAACUACACGUACCCGCUGUCUCAGCCACUGUAUAGAUGUGUCCUAGACGGGCCCAAUUUAAAUGAAGGUGAAUUCUAUUUCAGUCGAAUGAAAAAGAUUUUGUGUCGAAAAGGAGCAACUGCCAACCGCUAUUGCCAAAAAGGACCACCUCGGAGAUGAAAUGGCAGAAAAGACACCCGGCCGUGGUGGCAGGUGCGGCAGGCGACACGUGGCACCUGCCGCCACUACACGAGGCGGUCGCCCGCGUAUAACCGGAAUCGCUGGGUAGGACGGAAUGGGCUGGCGACGUGGGACCUACCGCCACGAUACGAGGUGGCAUGCGCUGGUGCUGCCGCACCGUGGCCAACAGGAAUUUUUGUCCAAAAGGACCACUAGCCCAACGAAAUUGAUAAAAAGGACCACAUGUGGUUAAAAGAGACAAAAAAGACCCCCUCAACUAUGACGGCAGGCGCACCAGCCGAUGUGUGGCACCUGCUGCCACCAGGGCAGGUGGCAGGCCGCGCAUAAUAGGGAGGCAGUCCCCGGACGGAACGGUGCUACGGAUGUGGGCCUUGUCGCCACCAUGCUAGGCGGCAGGACUGUUCCUGCAUGCGAUCGAGGCAGAGAUUCCCUGGCACCGAUUGAAGAAUUUGAUUGAUAGCGGCACUCACUAGUAGAAAAAGAGGCUUCCGUCCAGCCCCAUUAGUCGCGAAACUGUAGGAACCGCGACUAAUGAAGUCUUUAGUCGCGGUUCGGCAGAUGAACCGCGACCAAAUGCCUGGGCCCAGGGCGCUCGCGGGCUUUAGUCGCGGUUGGCCNNNNNNNNNNNNNNNNNNNNNNNNNNNNNNNNNNNNNNNNNNNNNNNNNNNNNNNNNNNNNNNNNNNNNNNNNNNNNNNNNNNNNNNNNNNNNNNNNNNNNNNNNNNNNNNNNNNNNNNNNNNNNNNNNNNNNNNNNNNNNNNNNNNNNNNNNNNNNNNNNNNNNNNNNNNNNNNNNNNNNNNNNNNNNNNNNNNNNNNNNNNNNNNNNNNNNNNNNNNNNNNNNNNNNNNNNNNNNNNNNNNNNNNNNNNNNNNNNNNNNNNNNNNNNNNNNNNNNNNNNNNNNNNNNNNNNNNNNNNNNNNNNNNNNNNNNNNNNNNNNNNNNNNNNNNNNNNNNNNNNNNNNNNNNNNNNNNNNNNNNNNNNNNNNNNNNNNNNNNNNNNNNNNNNNNNNNNNNNNNNNNNNNNNNNNNNNNNNNNNNNNNNNNNNNNNNNNNNNNNNNNNNNNNNNNNNNNNNNNNNNNNNNNNNNNNAAAAAAUAAAAGAAAAUAAUGGAAAUGUCAAAAAAAUAAAAGAAAAUAAGUUUCUCAUGUGAUAUGUGGUCUAGUUGUUGGGAAAAUUUGCAAAUGUGAAUUUUGACUUUAUUUGCAAAAUCUCUCUGAAAUUUGUAAAAAUGGGCAUAACUUUUGCAUACUAACUCGGAUGAAAAAGUUUUUUAUAUGAAAAAUCAUCUACUCGAAAAGUUACAUCCAAAUUUAACAGGAACCCCGUUAAACAUUUUCAAAAUCCUCAAAAACCUAAUAGAAAAAAAGUUACGGGGCUUGUAAGAUCUAGAGUGGAAAAAAUUGAAAAAUAUUCAAACAGUGGGCAAACUAUGGUCAAACAAUGGUCAAACUAAUUAUUCUAGAAUAUUAGUGUUACUAAAUAAUUAUUUUAAUUAUUUCAAUUUUGGUCAAAUCUGGUCAAACUGUGGUCAACUGUGGUCAAACUGUGGUCAAACAAUGGUCAAACUAAUUAUUCAAGAAAUAUUAGUGUUACUAAAUAAUUAUUGUUUUUUAAAACAAUAGUUUCAAACUCAAACAGUGAAAUGUGUCACUUCAUGCUCAAGCAAAAUUCCUGAAGGUUAAUAGGAUUGACAUCUUAUUAUUGUCAGCAAAACAACAAGUGCAGACUUGGAGCGUGGGAGAAUAGAACCCGGAAGUUAAGCGUGCUUGGGCUGGAGUAGUGAGAGGGAUGGGUGACCGGUUGGGAAGUUAGAUGAUUUGGAAUGAUGAGGGGUGAUAAAAGAAUAAAUUGAGAAGUGAUGAGGGGUGGUGAUUAGAGACUAGAGGUUAAAAUAAUUCAGAAAUUUGAAAAAAAAAAUUUCAAUUUUUUUUUCAAAAACCUCUGGCGGCCUUUAGUCGCGGUUAGCCACAAGAACCGCGACUAAAGGUCCUCCGCCCACGUGGACGGGCCUUUAGUCGCGGUUCUUAAGCAACCGCGACUAAAGGGGGGGGCCUUUAGUCGCGCCCGUCUGGUCGCGGUUGCGCAACCGCGACUAAUGGCAGUUGCGAACCGCGACCAAAGGUCCUUUUUCCACCAGUGACUGAUUGGCGCGCAGUAGCACUGGAAUAUUCGUGGCACUGACUUCUUGCCGUUUCUUUAGCUGCCGUUGUCGCUUUGUGUCACUGAUUCCCCGAUUGCUUGAUUCCCUCGCUACUGGAGUAAUUUGCAGACGGCGCUAAUUGCCGCGGCCGACGAGACAGAUUCCCACGCGCGGGAAUCCGAUGUCGUUUCCUUUCUUUUUGCCCCGCUGCUGCCCGGAAAUCACUCAUUCAGUGUUGGCUUUUGCUUCAGCAGACGCGACGGCAGCCAGGGAAUCACUCACUCAACACUGACUUUUGCUUCAGCGGAAGGGACGGCUGCCCGGGAAUCACUCACUCAGCGCUGGCUUUUGCUUUAGAGGACGCGACGACACUGCAGGAAUUCACUCACUUGCUGUGCGAAUUCGAGGCUGAGGUAGGUGAGUUUUAACAUGUUGUGCUGACACUACAGGGAUCCUCUUCCUUUUAUAUGUUAUCCUAUGCUUUUGCUCCGUGCGAAAGCACACCCUCUCUGGCCUCCUCUUCUACUCUCUAAGUCUCUAAGAACACCGAGAAAGAAAAACUCACUAGGCACUUUAACUCGUGAUUUAGCGCGAUUUGGAGUUGGAUAUUGAAUAUGCUGAAGUUGAACAAAAGAUAGAUCAAGGUAAGAUCUAUCCUUUUUGUUGGUUUCGUUCGCAUGCAUGAUUUUUUUACUCUUUUAGAUUAGUUCAUAACUAUGUGUUAUCUGUUGUGUUAGGCAUUAUUUCAUCACCUUUUGUGUCAUUUAAAGCGCCAGGAGUAGGAUUUGCCUAGCGAAGUGAAUUACGAAGUUGAUCAAUGUAUGAGCUUUGCAAUAAAAUGAUUUUUUUUGUGCAUGCACGAUGUUAAUUAGUUAGUCUUUUAGCUAGUCAUUAGCUAUGCGAUGUUAGUGCUUAAAGUUAGAAAUAAUUUCAAAUUACAUAUGUUGCAUUUAUACUAUUUUUUUAGAAGAGUAGGUUGAAGAUGUUGUAUCAAUGUUAGCGGCAUCCAUUAGUAUUAAUCGUAAUUAGUACCUUUAUUGAACGUUUAGGUUCGGUUCGAGCCGGAAUUCGGACAACAAAUAUUUGACGGUAUUGUAGAUAAACAUUAGGCUUUUAAAAUGCAUAAAUUUAGUUUGACAUACGAGAAGAUCUUAAUAUGGUAAUUAAGAAAAAGUUUGUACAUACUGUAAUUGUUCAUUGCAUGUGCUAUGUUAUUUCAUGUGGUAUGUUUAUUAAUAAGUAUAUAGUUAGGAAACCGUAGGUCUACUUGGUUAUGUCGCAAUAAUCUAAAUUUUCUGUGUUAAGAUUACAUGCUAAUGUACUUAAUGAUGUAUGUAAUUAGGUAAAAUAAUUUAUCUUAGUAGCAAACAAGGAGGAGAUGAAUGAUUGAAGAAUUUGUAUUUCAAUCUUCGCUGUCCUUUUUGAGGUGAUGACCACAUACAUGCAAGUGCUAUUUUCAUACUUUUGGUAACAGAAAGAAAAAUCCGUGUGUAAUAUUUAAUUUUCAUACUUUUCAUACUCGUGAUGCACCUUUAGAUAUUUAAUUUAAAUUGAAUCUCUUUGUAUUUUUGUAAUCGUGAUGUUAUCUUCAGAUAAUUAAUGUAAAUUGUAUCUCUCUGUAUUUUUAGGUUAAUUUGGGUCUUCAGAUAAUUGGCAUUUGUAUUUGUGUCUUUAGAUGUUUAUUUUUAUUUAUAUGUUUGUGUGCAGGUUACGGCUGAAGUGCGAGUGCUUUUGUAGGGGCCCCAUGACGCCGGCCACCAUUGCCACCUAUUGUUGAAUCCAAAUAAUGAUAAUGAUCCUCGAACUUUCAGACUUCGAACCGUAAGUAACACAUGGUCAAUACACGAUUAUUUCAUUCCUCACGUUGAGGCUUAUGGACUACAUGGUUAUGCUAGGCUCACAUCAUCCGAAGACCAAUUACGUUCGGACGCAUCCCUUUUGACAUCCCUCAUUGACUGGUGGAGACCUGAAACCCACACCUUUCACUUUCGUUUUGGGGACCUUGCAUCUACACUGAAAGAUGUUUCUAGGAUCACUGCUCUACCAAUUAGAGGUGAGUCGUUAGUCUCUGAAUGAGUUUCUCCAUCUUGGGCAUUAAAUAUCUCAGCCCGUCUUGGGAUGACAAUGCCAGAAUCACAACGUUCUGGUGGCACUUGGGGCGUCCCACUCGCCUAGCUUCAUGCAAACUUUAAUUGUUUAUCUAACCAGGCUGAUUCUCAGAUGAUGUUACCCUAUAAACCACCAGCAGUUUGAGAUGCUUGAUGGGUCACUAGUCACAUGGAACCCGUGGACUCAGGAGCAGUUACAGAUGGUCUUCGAUAUACGACCCAUCACAACAGGAUGCGUGAGCGAUAGUGCAUUCUGGCCGACUAGCUGCAACUUAUUAUUCAUGUGGUGUGUUGAGCCUUACAAUUCAGAGCGUGUCAUGAGACAGUUCGGUCUCUAUCAGGAUAUUCCACCACCUUUUCCAAGAUGUGUUGACGAGGAAACCCAUAAGUAAGAUGUGACCUCCCUAAAUAGUUAGUGUCUUCUUUAAUGUACUAAGUUGACACUUUGUUACAUAAUUUGCAGGCUGAGCAAUAUGGGCAAGGGUGGUUACAAUUGAAGGGCACACAACAUUGAAUGGUUACACAAGUGGGAAAAUGAUGUGCUAGAAGAUAUAGUGCAUCAACUUAGGUAAAUUCUAUUUACUGUAUUUUAUAAUGAUGACCAUACAAUGCGUGAAGAUGCUUUGCUUUCAUCUCAAAGGUCGAUAUAAAAUACAGUAAAAUACAGUGAGUCUGCUUUCUAUUUAAUGUUCGAAGUCUGAAAGUUCGAAGAUGCUUUUAGUACAUGAAAGUGAAGCAUCUUCACGCACCGUAUGGUCAUCAUUAUAAAAUACAGUAAAUAGAAUUUACCUAAGUUGAUGCACUAUAUCUUCUAGCACAUCAUUUUCCCACUUGUGUACGCAUUCAAUGUUGUGUGCCCUCCAAUCGUAACCACCCUUGGCCAUAUUGCUCAGCCUACAAAUUAUGUAACAAAGUCUCAGUUUAGUAAAUUAAAAAAGACACUAACUAUUUAGGGAGGUCACAUCUUACUUAUGGGUUUCCUCGUCAACACAUCUUGGAAAAGGUGGUGGAAUAUCCUGAUAGAGACCGAACUGUCUCAUGACACGCUCUGGGUUGUAAAGCUCAACACACCACAUGAACAAUAAGUUGCUGUGAGUCAGUCAGAAUGCACUAUCGCUCACGCAUCCUGCCGUGAUGGGUCGCAUUUCGAAGACCAUCUGUAACCGCUCGUGAUUCCACGGGUUCCAUGUGACUAGUGACUCAUCAAGCAUCUCAAAAUGUUGGUGGUUAUAUAGGGUAACAACAUUUUGCAACAUUUGGAGACCAUUUUUUCCGUGCCUUUGUCAACCUGCUGGCCAUUGUUACAUUGCCCUUGCUACAGUUGUACCGGUGUAUGGGAUUUAGUAUACGAGGUCGUCCAACAGGGAGGUAUUCCCAGUACCACAACUGUAGAAACUCGUAGGCGACACAAAGUAACGGAGCUUUUCUGUGAAUGAAAUUUUUUGUGUGGCAUCACACAAGUCUCUAUAUGUAUGAGAUAGCAUGGCAGAACCGAAGCUGUAUUUUGGAUGCUGAGGUAAAGAUUCAUCUACCAUAUUCUCUACAAAGUAGAUGAGACCAAGGAGAACUAUGUCCCCGUGUGAAUUUGGAAACAUAGUCCCGAGGAGCCACAACAAAUAUGCAAACAAAUGUCUUUUCCUCAUCUCAGAAUCAGCUGGUUAGAUAAACAAUGAAUGUUUGCACGAAGCCAGGCGAGUGGGACGCCCUGAGGGCCACCAGAACAUUGUGAUUCUGGCAUUGUCAUCCCAAGACGGGCUGAGAUAUUUAAUGCCCAAGAUGGAGACACUCACAGAGAAACUAACGGCUCACCCCUAAUUGGUAGAGCAGUGAUCAUAGAAACAUCUUUCAGUGUAGGUGCAAGCUCCCCAAGAUGAAAGUGAAAGGUGUGGGUUUCAGGUCUCCAUCGGUCAACGAGGGAUGUCAAAAGGGAUGGGUCCGAACGUAAUUAGUCUUUGGAUGAUGUGAGCCUAGCAUAACCAUGUAAUCCAUAAGCCUCAAGGUGAGGAAUGAAAGAAUCGUGUAUUGACCAUGUGUUCUUUACGGUCGAAGUCUGAAAGUCCGAGGAUCAUUAUCAUUAUUUGUGUUCAAGAAUAGGUUGCAACGGUGGCUGGCAUCGUGGGGUCCCUGCAAAAGCACUGGCACUUCAGCCAUAACCUGCACACAAACAUACAAAUAAAAAUAAACAUCUGAAGACAUAAAUACAAAUGCAAAUUAUCUGAAGACACAAAUUAACUUAAAAAAUACAAAGAGAUGCAAUUUUUUUUGACUGGGAAAGAGAUACAAUUUACAUUGAUUAUCUGAAGUUAACAUCACGAUUACAAAAAUACAAAGAGAUUCAAUUUAUUAGAUAUCUGAAGGUGCAUUACGAGUAUGAGAAGUAUGAAAAAUAAAUAUUACACAUGGAUUUUUCGUUGUGCCAUCAAAAGUAUGAAAAUAGCACUCACAUGUAUGUGGUCAUCACCUCAAGAAGGACAGCGAAGAUCGAAACACAAAUUCUUCAAUCACAUCAUAUCCUCCUUGUUUGCUACUAAGAUGAAUUAUUUUACCUAAUUACAUACAUCAUUAAGUACAUUAGCAUGUAAUCUUAACAUAGCAAAUUUAGAUUAUUGCGACAUAACAAGGUAGUCCUACGAUUUCCUAACUAUAGACUUAUUAAUAAACAUACCACAUGCAAUGAACAAUUGCAUUACAAACUUUUUCUUAAUUACCAUAUUAAGAUCUUCUCGCAUGUCAAACUAAAUUUAUGCAUUUUAAAAGCCUAAUGUUGAUCUACAAUACCGACAAAUAUUUGUUGUCCAAAUUCCGCCUCUAACCCAACCUAAAUGUUCAACAUCUUAUAUCUUAUAUGUACUAAUUGGAGGCACCAUACGAGUAACCACGUUAAUUCUCGGUAACUAAGAAAACUAGCCAUCCGAUAGCCAAAUUAAGUAUUUUCCACCGUUAGAUGUGAUGCCUCAAGGAGUCCUUGAAUUAUGUCCCACCUCAAACCACCUACAGUUAAAAAAAGUAGUUCACGAAAAAAUACAGCAGGAGUCGUUGAAUUCUAUCCCACGUUAAACCAUCUACAACAUAAAAUCCCCUAAAAAAAUCUACAAUAAAAAAAACAGUUCAAAAAAGAAAUACAGCGAAAAAAAAGAAUCCAUCGCUAGCAAUCUCCUUCCACCGCUGAUCCAACCCUCCCACGUACAUCCUAAAAAAACAACCAACGCACCGAGCCCUAGCGCUGCUUCUCCUAAUCUAGUUCUCCUCCCGUCCAUCUCUCCCAAAAAAAGUUCUCCUCCCGUCCAAUCUGAAUCCCAAGAAGUUAACCCCACCAAGGCAACAAACCCUAGCGCUCCUAGCUACUUCUCCUGCUGUCUAAUCUACUGUCUUCCAUAGCAGUCCUCUAAAAGAUCCAACUAGCUUCUUCCCCAUCCCCUUCCUCCAUGAUCUUUGAAUCUCUACUACCCUAACCUUUUAACCUUUUAGCUGCCAUACCACGGCCAAACUGCAAUGACGUGGAGAAGGAGGUAUUUUUGGAUUAGUAGAUGAGUCAGACCAAACUGCAAUGAAGUUGAGAAGGAGGUAUUUUUGGAUUAGUAUUUAGUAGAUGAGUCAGAUCUAGGAGGAGGAGGACUGUACUAAGGACAGUUUCAAACAAAUCAGGAAGCAGCUGUUGUCAGGCAUUCAUGAGGCCACCAAGAAAAGGAGCUACUGUGUACAGAUGGCACAACUAUUCGAAACAUUGUAGGUGAUACACAACAUUGCUUCUGACUUCUCAAACCCAACUAAUUGUUCUCCCAAAUCCAUCUCACGGUUCGGUCUUCUAUCUACAUGUGUUUUAUUACAUAUACAGACUGUUGUUAUUUAAUUUAAUGUUCCAUGUUAUCAGAGGGACUGGAAUCUGUUGGGGACAAUUUUGCAGCCGUACGAAAUUUGCUCGCAAUAAUUUGUAGGCCUCUUCAUGAAUAAUACUAAUUAACUGAUAUUUCAUCUGGGCAACUAUAUUUUUGACACACACAAUUUUUUCCAUCAUACUUUAGCUUUCUAACUAUUUUUUGUGGAAACAGACCUGAGUUCUAUUAGUGGGAAAUCCAAGGACCAUGUCCUCUGUUGCGAGUGUUCCAUGCAGUUCGACAACAUCUGCAACAGCAGCGUGAGGUGUCUUCUUCUUUUUCUUCUUCAUGGAGUCAAUUUGUUUUCCUAAGUAUCAGUUCUAUCUGUGGAGAUGACAACCGUGUAUCUUUUAUCUUCCACAAAGAUUGAUUUUAUAACUUCUCUCCUUUUUGUUGCACUAAUUUUCUGAUUGGUUGAAGUAUACCAUUUAUUUAUUUAAGUGGAAUAAUUACUGGUGGUUAUUGGUUGAUAAACUUUUACUUACCUAAGUACUCCUUUUGUGCAUCCAUGUUAUAAAAAAACCAAUCUUUAUUCUCCUAAACUAACUACGUCAUAGGAGUUGAGAUCUCACAAAAAAACAAUGUUAUAGGAGUCCAUAUCUCACAAGGAACAGGACCAUCACCACGUUUUUACUAAAACAAGACCAUCACCAGGUUCCUCUCCGUUCAGGUAUAGAUUCAACCUGAUGCGCUGCUGCCAGGACUUUUUCCACAACCAAAAUCCAUGGUAGCUCCUCCUCUUUUCUUGCGUCCAAUAAAAGCACGAUCGAAGUCUCAUCCAAGAAAACUGGUGGCAGCCGACCCAGCUGAUGCUGCAGAUGGGCGUGCCAUGUGGGAGGUGCGCCGGUGGCUGGGAUCCAUGUGAGCAGUUCUACCAUCCUCUAUCUCUCCAUUCCAUAUUUUAAUGUCAUCUUCGACCAUCCGUACUGCAUCCAUCAACAAGAAUAUGACUCAAUCAAUCCAUCCCCUCCCGUCCAACCUUAAAUCGUAUCUAUAUUCUAAGUUUUUCAAUUUAAGAUGGCUGAUGCAUGGGCUGAAGAUGUGUAUAACACUCUAAAUCCAAUUUGAGUGGAUCUAUAAUGUCUGAUCAAGAAAUUGACCUUUUUCCAUGUCUAUCUUGCAGCACUUCUGUUCACCAGAUUGUAUAUUGGAGGGAGGGGAGGAGAACCUGCAGGGGUGAUCUGUACGAGCAUCUUUCCGACGAUGACGACGUUUGGUUGGGUUCCCUUGGUAGCACGGGCAUGAGAUCACCCAACUCCUCGAUCAAUCCCUGCUGUCAAGAUCCUGCAAGUCUUGCUUGGCUAUCAGCUGUAGUACAGGUUGGCUUUCUCUUGCUUUGGUUGUCUGCGUUUUAAUGGACGUUUCCUCAUCUCACUACCCAAAGGGAAACUAGAUACAUUGCGUGAUGCAGAUCAAUAGAGAGUAGACCAGGUAGGCAGGAUAAAAAUAUGAAAUAAUCAUGUUUGUUCUUUGUUUGAUGUUUUCUUGGUCUGCACACAUGCUUCUCUAAUAGUUCCCAACGGAUUAGAGGAAUUGGCUUCAUGCAGAUAGACAGAAAUAUGUUUGUGAUCAGUCAAAGAGAAUGAAAACAUUUACUGAAAUCUUUAUUUGUGGAUCCUAUGAAUUACAUUGAUUGGAAGUCCAACGAUCAAUCUCAUUUUAGAAAGAACUAUAUUUAGAGGCAUAUGUGCUAUUAGAUUCUUUAUCUCUCAAAUUCAUGCCUUCUAUACGUACUGAAUUUAAAAAGCUGGACAAGAGGCAACGCUGCCAACAAAACAUCAUACUAUACUGGGGAAAGACAUCACAUUCUCUCUCUUUCUUUUCACAUGAUUGGCUGAGUAUUAAUAAUAGUCCUCAUGGUUGCACGGUGAGAUUAUCUUCAGCAAAAGAUAUUUGAAUCAGUGGUGGAUCAAUGACAACGUACAAGUGCCUUGAUGACAGCUUUUCAUGUUACAGUAUACAGCCUCAGCCAUGCAAGCAACAAUGGUAACUAAUAAUUGUACCAUGUAGUCUAGAGUCUAGACUGGAGUAGCGCAUAGACGCAUAGUAAUAUUUGAUUAUUAAUUUCUGCAGGCAACCAAGGUAAUGACGUUGUAGUCUUGGGUAAUCCUUCUAUUUAAUUAGCUAUUUUGCACAAUUGUUCAUACAUAUAUGUAUGUGCAUGGAACAACUCAUUGUUAAGAACACAGAACAUCAUUAAAUCCAGAAAUCCGUAUACGUACAAAGAAGGAAAAACAAUGAGCUAUCUGUAUGGAUGAUGCGUGACAAUGUUCUCAUAUUUUCAUAUUUACAGCCAGUGACUAAAAAAGCAAUGAGAUAUUUGUACACUUAGGAGUCCAGUGACUAAAAUAUACGUCUUAGAAAAAAUAUUUAGAGAUCCCCAGUUCAAUAUAUUAUUUCUGUAAUAAACUGAUGAUUAACUAAGGGCAUAAAUAAUAAAUUCAAGGCAUCUAUCCAACAUUUAUGGAAAUAAAACAUAAUUAACAAAGAGAAAAAUCAUACAUUUAAUUUAGUGUCAUUCCACUUCAGCAUUGGUAGAAAUAAAGUUAGGGUAACUAUUCAUUUUUAAUAUAGGCAAAUGUGUUUUUUAUGGUUUCGGGAAUUGCAUGUAUUACAUGUAGGACAACGUGCAUAAAUUUGUUCCCGGCGACCAAAACAUGAAAGCAAAUGAUUGCCCUCUCAUCUUGACACAAUAAUAUGCCUCUGCAGGAAUCACGAAAAAACAUAUUCAACAUAUUUGUGGAUAAUAAAAUGAUAUUUCAUGAAGAAUCAUAAAGAAAUAUAAGAUUCCCAUAUAUUUUGCAAAUUGUGUAUUUUCAAUGCACCUCACAAUCUGUUACAAGUAAACAUAGAUUCCCAGAAAUUAUAUAAUUUUAAAAUUUUAGAUCGUUAAAGGAAAAUGUAUAUAAAACGAACUUCCCAUUUGCAACUAUGUGGACCAGCAAUACCGCCUUCAUAUUCAUGUCAAAUAAAUAACUUAUUUGAAAAUUAUGAGAAAUGGGACGACCAAAAGGGAAAAAUUCAUGCAAACCAUCUAAUCACAACUUCAUCAAACAAUUGUAAUCCUAUUUUCCCGGGAUCAUUGAACAAAAUUACAUGUUUAUAACAUUAUUAUUCUUCCCUGAAACUUCACUUCUUCAGUUUCAUAAGUCAUAAAUAGUAAACAUUAGCUAGCCCGUGCUGGGGCACGGGUUGAUGACUAGUAAGUACUAAUUAUGAUUAAUACUAAUGGACGCAGCUAACAUUGAUACAACAUCUCCAACCUACUGUUCUAAAAAAAUAGUAUAAAUGCAACAUAUGUCAUUUCAAAUUAUUUCUAACUUCUAAGCAAUAACAUCGCAUAUCUAAUGACGAGCUAAAAUACUAACUAAUUACCUUGAUCUUCAACUUUGUAGUUCACUUCGCUAGGUAAAUCCUACUCAUGAAGCUCUAAAUGUCUGGAAAAGGUGGUGAAAUAAUGCCAGUCCUGCACAUGCAGCUGUAGCCACGACUUCCAUCAAUGCACUCAGCAUCUUUGACGUCACAGACAUUGGCUGUACUAUCAUGGCACUCGGCAUACUUGCCGGUGCAAGCAUAGUGUGUCAUGUUUUGCUCGGCAGCAAUGCAGUUGGAUUCGUCAAUUAUCUACCACAAUAGUUGAAAGACAGUCGGCCAAUCACUAGUUAUGCUGAUUCUAUCCCACGGUUGAGAGAUCUUCCUAGAGCGUGCAUCAAUGUUGCUUUUGCUUUGGUUGUAGACAAAUUUGAACCGAAAACUGCCAUCACCAUCCACAUCAACACGACAGCACCCCGAGGUAUUUUUACAGUUGUGCAUAGCCACCAUCUCUGGGAUGUUUGGAUCCAGGCACACAGUGCUGCAUAUCAACAUGGUGGCGUCGUCUCCGAUAGAGUAUACAUCCAGGUCACGCCGGUAAUCUUUAGAACAGCGGCCCUGAGAGAGAAGGACCCCCCAGGAGGUACCAAAGACAAGUUGUAAACACUUACACCA
rnacentral:lncRNA from 1 species